rnacentral:rRNA from 1 species
UACAGAGGUCCCAAGCGUUGUUCGGAUUCACUGGGCGUAAAGGGUGCGUAGGUGGCGGAGUAAGUCGGAUGUGAAAGCUCGGAGCUCAACUCCGAAAUGGCAUUGGAAACUGCUCCGCUCGAGGGUUGGAGGGGGGACUGGAAUACUUGGUGUAGCAGUGAAAUGCGUAGAUAUCAAGUGGAACACCAGUGGCGAAGGCGAGUCCCUGGACAACUCCUGACACUGAGGCACGAAAGCUAGGGGAGCAAACAGG